GGCCAGACUCCUACGGGAGGCAGCAGUGGGGAAUAUUGCACAAUGGGGGGAACCCUGAUGCAGCGACGCCGCGUGGGUGAAGGAGUGCUUCGGCAUGUAAAGCCCUAUCGGCAGGGAAGAAGCAAGACGGUACCUGACUAAGAAGCCCCGGCUAACUACGUGCCAGCAGCCGCGGUAAUACGUAGGGGGCGAGCGUUAUCCGGAUUUACUGGGUGUAAAGGGAGCGUAGACGGCUGGUCAAGGCUGAAGUGAAGGCCCGGGGCUUAACCCCGGAACGGCUUUGGAAACUGAGCAGCUAGAGUGCUGGAGAGGUAAGCGGAAUUCCUAGUGUAGCGGUGAAAUGCGUAGAUAUUAGGAGGAACACCAGUGGCGAAGGCGGCUUACUGGACAGUAACUGACGUUGAGGCUCGAAAGCGUGGGGAGCAAACAGGAUUAGAUACCCUAGUAC
rnacentral:rRNA from 1 species